rnacentral:rRNA from 1 species
CGCGUAGGCGGGCUGUUAAGUCGGGGGUGAAAUCCCGGGGCCCAACCCCGGAACUGCCUCCGAUACUGGCAGCCUAGAGGACGGAAGAGGCGAGUGGAAUGCCGAGUGUAGAGGUGAAAUUCGUAGAUAUUCGGCGGAACACCGGUGGCGAAGGCGGCUCGCUGGUCCGUUUCUGACGCUGAGGUGCGAAAGCGUGGGGAGCAAACA